rfam:Gossypium hirsutum cultivar TM-1 chromosome 11, whole genome shotgun sequence
AGUCUAUGAUGAGGAUACCUUCUCAACAAAUCCUUAAAUCUCUCUCAUCUAUCAUAAAGUGCCUCAAUAUCAAACUGAACAAAAGAAGAGAUGUUAUUCCUUAACUU